rnacentral:tRNA from 1 species
GCUAAUGUAGCUCAGUCGGUAGAGCAGCUGAUUCGUAAUCAGCAGGUCGCAGGUUCGAAUCCCGUCAUUAGCUCCA